rnacentral:tRNA from 1 species
CGGGGAGUAGUCAAGUGGUAUGAUACGCGGUUUGGGACCGUGUGGCGGGAGUUCGAUUCUCCCCUCCCCGA